AUGAGAUCCAGUUGGAACGAACCUACCUUUGAAAGAGCUAUGGUUAUGAUUUGGAAGAAAUUAAAGAGGCUGCAAUCGAUUCUAAGGAUUAUGUCAAAACCUUUAUAUGACUUGUGCACGAAAAUUGAACAAGCAAGGGAUGAUCUGCAGAGGGUACAACUGGAGCUUAAGGGAGACAUGAUGUAUUCUUCUAAAAUCGACAUGGUUCGAAAGCUUAGUGAUGGGUUUGUUGAGAGACGAUAA